rnacentral:rRNA from 1 species
UGGGGAAUAUUGCGCAAUGGGGGGAACCCUGACGCAGCCAUGCCGCGUGAAUGAAGAAGGCCUUCGGGUUGUAAAGUUCUUUCGGUAUUGAGGAAGGUUGAUGUGUUAAUAGCACAUCAAAUUGACGUUAAAUACAGAAGAAGCACCGGCUAACUCCGUGCCAGCAGCCGCGGUAAUACGGAGGGUGCGAGCGUUAAUCGGAAUAACUGGGCGUAAAGGGCACGCAGGCGGUUAUUUAAGUGAGGUGUGAAAGCCCCGGGCCUAACCUGGGAAUUGCAUUUCAGACUGGGUAACUAGAGUACUUUAGGGAGGGGUAGAAUUCCACGUGUAGCGGUGAAAUGCGUAGAGAUGUGGAGGAAUACCGAAGGCGAAGCNAGCCCCUUGGGAAUGUACUGACGCUCAUGUGCGAAAGCGUGGGGAGCAAACAGGAUUAGAUACCUUGGUAGUCCACGCUGUAAACGCUGUCGAUUUGGGGGUUAGGGUUUAACUCUGGCGCCCGUAGCUAACGUGAUAAAUCGACCGCCUGGGGAGUACGGCCGCAAGNUUA